CCACCCUUACUUUUAAUAAUUUACUUUAAACCCUCAAGUUAUUAUAAAUACACUUUAACCCACUUUUAAUAUUAUAAAUACCCCUCUAUCCCUUAUUAUUUCUUACAAAAUUAUAUAUUCUCUCAUCUAUUUUUUAUAUUCUUUCAAGUCUCAACUCUCAAUCUUAAGUCUCAAAUCUCAAUAUUUUAUUUCAUUUAAGUCUCAUAUUAUAUCAUAAUACAUAUAUUUCAAUUCUAAGUUUUCAUAUUAUAUAUCAUAAUAUAUAUAUCUAAGUUUUCAUAUUAUAUUUGCUAUCAAAUAUUGGAGUUCCAAAUUACAAGUUACAA
rnacentral:lncRNA from 1 species